AAUCGAUAAUCGAUAAGUAAUUAUCGAUAAGGGCCAAAAUCGAAUCGAUAAAUCGAAUGCACACCCCUAGUUGAGUGUUAAAAACAAAGUCUCCAGAACUUUUUAUUUUAUCAUAUCUGUGGAAUUUAGCCGUGUGGUCCUGAAAUUUAUUAAAGUAAUCUUAUAAGGUAGUAAUAACAAUUUAUGUGGGACUUAAGCAAACAAUGAAUGAAUUAUCUUGUUUCUCUAAUUGGUUGAAUCACAUAUGAGAUGAGAUUACAGCCUACGGAAAAAAGAAAUAUAACAAAAAUUAACAUAAGGGACUGAUAAUAUUUAGCUCAAUAUUCUUUUGUAUUGUCAAAUAUAAUUAUCCGCAGUCUGUACUAUUGGAUGAAUGGCGAUCUGGUUUGUAACAUGAAUGACUUGCUGGACUAGUUAAAAUCUUUGAGCAUGUGAUGCAAAACAAGUCCAGAUAUUUUGUAAAUUAUGCUGUACCAGCUUAGUACUGUUUAUAAAUAGAACGCUAACUAAAAAAAAGUAUUUUGCUCAAUGUCGCCUUUGAUAAUUCUUAUUAUCUCUUUCUUAGAUGUUCUCGCAUAAUGUGAUGUGGGGCAUUCUGCUCUAUUUUAGAUCCUGCAGCUAAGUGAGAGUACGCGACUUUGACUCAACCUUCUAUUUGCUUUAUGACAAUCAGGGAUUUGCUUCAGAGAAUCUGUCUGGAUUACAAGAAAGCUCAGUAACUUAAAUGGAGAUUAGCCUUGUAUAAGCAAUAACGUUUCAAAAAUACACGUUUUACUCAAUUACAAGUUUGCAACCGAUUCAUCCACCGAGGAACUUGCAUGCAGUACUUCUUAUGCAACCCAAGUGACUAAUGCUGCUAACCAUCAAUACAUUUGGCUGAGCAUCCCUCCGUGUCAUCAUCAUUGUUUCUUAUCUUAGCUUUGAAUUCUUUCCUUCUCCCUGUUGUAUAAUCCUUGAUUCUUUCUCCUUUGUUGCAUCAGUUGGUGUCUGAAAUCCAUUGUUGUAUGAUAUCUUUCUAAGGUUACCACUCAACCCUGAAACAUUGUGUUUUGCUCAGAAAAUCUUGGUAUGUGCAGUGUCGGCUCCUUUAACCUUGUCAAAUUACAUCUUGACGCCUCAGCCUACUGCAACAAAGAUAUAGCUGGCUUUGUUGUUUGUGAUCUGCUAGUGGUGGGUAUGAACCUCACCACAUGAUCUCUAACAAGUAAAGCAUACUUAUGGCCAGAAAUACAUGUUAAGUUAACACACGUGGAUUUUGAAGUGGUGAAUCCAUGUAAUGGCUUGCUCUGCUUCUUAGAACCGUUGUUCUAUGAUCCAGUGUGGGUUCGCGGUCUAAUUGUUAGUUCAGUACAUCACCCAUUCACAAGCAUGUGAUUGAACUUGAGGAUGAUAUUUAUUUCUGGAUUUCGGGUUGAUAGAAAUUCUGGUACCUGAAACGGAUGAACCUAUCAGAAGAAGACACCCAACGUGGUGAUGGUCUAGGGUGCAAGGUGAAUAUGAUCAAGCUUAGGUUGAAGCAGCUAUGUAUGAGCAAUUAAUCAACAUCCAAAUGCUGAUCAUUCUUCUCCACCACUUCUACCUUUUGAAACUCCGCGUUGUGAUCCUGAACUACUGGGAGGGUUCAAUGGGCAGGCAAAUACCCUCAGAAUGCUCAACCUCUACAUCAUUCUGGAGGAUUUGUGCCCAUAUUGAGUCGAUGAAACUAUGCAGGGCCUAAUUCUUUGAGGUGUAAUAUUCAUAGAAUUGCUUUGACUGAGCAGUGAAUGCAGAAUAAGUAUGGUGCAUGCUUCACUGUUUUAUGAAACCAAGCUGGAAAGGAAGAAGCUGGUAAAUUCAGUUAUGCCAUUGAACCUCUUUGUCCGACAAACUUCUGCACUGGUUUAUGAUAUGAUGAUUUCUGUGUUUUUUUCACAUUCUUGGGCAGUGACAUUUUGAUUGGUUUUUAUUGUUCGUCUUCCAUCAGGAAUUUGCGUACUUUCUUUUUUGACUAGGUGUAAGUAGUAAGCAAUCAUCAGUGGAAUCUCCAAUUGCCAAUGGAAAUAGACACUGCCUAAAGGAAAAAGAACAUUCAGGGGCACCUCAUUCCCAAGUAAUUGUACCAUAAAUUUGUGAAUGUUGCUCUUUAGUGUUC